AACGAACGCUGGCGGCAGGCCUAACACAUGCAAGUCGAACGGGAUCUUCGGAUCUAGUGGCGGACGGGUGAGUAACGCGUGGGAACGUGCCCUUUGGAUCGGAAUAGCCCCGGGAAACUGGGAGUAAUACCGGAUAAGCUCUACGGAGGAAAGAUUUAUCGCCAAAGGAUCGGCCCGCGUUGGAUUAGGUAGUUGGUGAGGUAAUGGCACACCAAGCCGACGAUCCAUAGCUGGGUUGAGAGGAUGAUCAGCCACACUGGGACUGAGACACGGCACAGACUCCUACGGGAGGCAGCAGUGGGGAAUCUUAGACAAUGGGGGAAACCCUGAUCUAGCCAUGCCGCGUGAUCGAUGAAGGCCUUAGGGUUGUAAAGAUCUUUCAGUGGGGAAGAUAAUGACUGUACCCACAGAAGAAGCCCCGGCUAACUCCGUGCCAGCAGCCGCGGUAAAAC
rnacentral:rRNA from 1 species